rnacentral:rRNA from 1 species
UACGUAGGGGGGCAAGCGUUGUCCGGAAUCAUUGGGCGUAAAGAGCGCGUAGGCGGUCCGGUAAGUCCGCUCUGAAAGUCCGGGGCUCAACCCCGGGAGGCGGGCGGAUACUGUCGGGCUAGAGUCCGGAAGAGGCGAGUGGAAUUCCUGGUGUAGCGGUGAAAUGCGCAGAUAUCAGGAGGAACACCAAUGGCGAAGGCAGCUCGCUGGGACGGUACUGACGCUGAGGCGCGAAAGCGUGGGGAGCAAACAGG